GCCGGGAUAGCUCAACUGGUAGAGCGGCGCAUUCGUAAUGCGUAGGUUGUGGGUUCGAGUCCCAUUCCCGGCU
rnacentral:tRNA from 1 species